UCCUGUCAGAGAGAAGAUUAGACACGGUGUGGAGCAGACGCGUUUAGUGAUAAACACAAAUAAGGAGUUGCAGGUGAUAGAGGAGCUCCAGAACCAGAACAUCAAGCUGCAGCAGAAGAAUGAUGAGCUCCUGAACCAGAAAAUCAAGCUUCAGCAGAAGAUGGAGGAGCUCCAGAACCAAACGUUCACCCAGCUGCUGCAACACACACACAGUUACAUAAAUAGUCAAAUUUAUUCACUUUUUAUGUUUUUAAGAACAUCAAGCUGCAGCAGAAGAAUGAUGAGCUCCUGAACCAGAAAAUCAAGCUUCAGCAGAAGAUGGAGGAGCUCCAGAACCAAACGUUCACCCAGCUGCUGCAACACACACACAGUUACAUAAAUAGUCAAAUUUAUUCACUUUUUAUGUUUUUAAGAACAUCAAGCUGCAGCAGAAGAAUGUGAGGAGCUUCUGAACCAGAAACAACAGACCAUCAAUCUGCUGCAGCAGGAGAAAGAGGAGCUCCUGAACCAAAAUAUUUAGUUUUUGGCACACACUAAAGAGCAAGACCCAGCUGCUGCAGGAGAAGAUGGAGCUCCUGAAUCAGCAACAAGGGACUAUCAGUCUCCUGCAGCCGGAGAAGGAGGAGCUCCUCAACCAGCAAACUUUACUUAAUUUACAAUAAGUUCAUUAAAGUUCAGUGUAAGUAAGCAAUAAAACACCACACACAGUUACAUAAAUAGUCAAAUUACUUAAGGUUUUAAGUUUUUCAGCAACACAAAAACAAACGGGAGAAGGAGGAGCUCAGGUAACUUUACUUACAUUUACAUUUGGGCAUUUGGCAGACGCUCUUAUCCAGAGCGACUUACAUUUUUAUCUCUUUACACAUCUGAGCAGUUGAGGGUUAAGGGCCUUGCUCAAGGGCCCAACAGUGGCAACUUGGUGGUUGUGGGGUUUGAACCUGGGAUCUUCCGAACCGUGGUCCAAUGCCUUAACCACUGAGCUACCCCUGUCCCUUAAUUUUAAUUUACUUAAUAAACAUAAUUUUUUAAUUCACCUUUUAUGUUUAAGAAAAUCGAGCUUUAACAGAAGAGUGAGGAGCUCUCUGUUUUAUUUAUUUUAAACUCUGUAAAAAUUCAGUUUAAUUUAGCAGUAAAACUUUUAUUAAGAGUAAACUUUCUAUUAUAUGCACAGGACAGGAAUUUACACUUAAUUUUGUGUCAUUAAACAUCUAAAAUAUUUCACUAUAAAAAAAAUGUUUGAGGAUAAAACAGAUGUGAGAAUCUUUCACAAAUCUUUAUGGACUUUUAUCCAACACUGCAGCAAUACAGAAGUAGUUUCAGUUGCUUUCCUGAAGGUUUUGAGGAAUUCAUAUAUAGCCCACAAGGUGGCGCUGUCAUGUUUAAUACAGUACAGGGUGAUGCCUAAGAAUACUGAGUAGGCCAGAUUCAGAUGGUUUUAGGCUCGGCAAGAGCUCAGGAUUAAUUGAUGCAGUAAAGUAGAGAAACAAGACACAAUAGGAAAAAUAAAGUGUUUAUAUUUACUUAAAUUUUUAUAUUUUGUAAUGGGUUUGACGAGCAGAGAGAAAGCACAGGAACCAAAUUUCACAAACACGAACAGUCGUUAUUUUAGAACAACAUUCAGCAGUUAAAUGUAUGCAGUCUUAGUGGAAUUAGCAGAAUAGUGGUUUCGGUGGCACCUAGGUGAGCCUCAGUGGAGCAGCAUGUGUGAGCAUGAGAAAGGCAGCUUCCUUCUUAGCGAAACAGUAUUGGAGUUUGCGGAGACAGAGAACAUGUAUGGGUGUGUAUGAGUUCGCCACUUGUGAUGCUGUGUGUAAGUGGUUCAAGCGGGAAGGUUUAACUAAUGUGUGCACACUGGCUGUAAGCCCACCAUUACAAUUUGUAAAAAAAAAAAAAAAAUCUGAAAUAAAAUGUAAAGCAAAUUUAUAAAAUUUCAGAUAGUAUCUAUGUAAAUAUCAUCAAUAUGUAAGAAAAAAAAUACAUGGGUCUAAUAAAAUCUCAGUGCUUCAGUUCAGACUGUCACUGUGUGUUUACAGUUCAGUUCUACCCAUAAAGUAAAUGGUUCAGUGUAAUAUGGCCCAGGCUCACCAUCCAUGACCAGGACAUAAAAAGAAAUCCUCUGGAAUCCCCUCGAAUUGCUGAGGUGUCCUCUGAUUUGCUUAAUGUUUCUGGUUUUCAGUCGUGGCAAGAAACCUGACCGAUGGAUGUGUUCAGAAUACAUUUACAUUUGUAUUUAUUGGUGAAACUACAAGCGCGGAAUCUAUUGUAGAAUUAAGGUUAACUGAAAGCAGCUUUAAAGAUGUUACUAUCUUGACUACAAAAUCUCAUCCAAAGUCAAUUAACCAAAUCAAAUGUUACAUUAAAUCAUUGCAUGCAGCAUUAACUUUAUUUAGCAGUUGUAUAACACUAGAAGUGUCAGUGAACUUGGUCUAUAAUUAAAUUGGUGCAGCUUUAACAAAGACUGCGGUACAGCUCUAACUUGUACCAGAACUAUGUAAAUAAAUGACAACAGUAAGAUGGCCAACAAUGCAAAAUGCACAACCUACUGCAACGUCUAGGUGCAUGAGAUUUUGCUUAUACGCAAAUGUGUACAUGUGAAACCUGGUACACAGUUAGAGCCCAUUGAGCUGAACAACUUUUGUACCGCAUGUCAUGGGCUCAAGUCAACAGGAAGUCAGUUAUUUUGAUUCGUUUCAAAAAUGCACUCUAUGGAAUUUGAUAUACCCUACCUAGGGGAUUUAUACAGUCACCACCAAACCCAGGUCUUUGUGAUCUCAAGGGAUCCAAAAUUGUGGAGAGAUUUUUAAAUAAUUCAAAUGGUUCAGUCGUAAUGAUGCCUUUAACUUGUGUCGAAAAGCGUGCUUGUGUGGGGGGAGACGAGGUGCUUGGGCCCGCGCAUCAUUGCUUGCAAAUAUAUUUAGUUUUGAAUUCCUUUAUAUACCUUUAGUUUAAUUAUUAAUUAAAACAUUUGAUUCUAGCAACAUUUCCAUAAACUAUUACAAAAAAUUUUAUGGCUAGUUAUGGACACUGGGUUAUACAUACAUCACAGAGACACCAACUCCCACAUUCCUUGGUCUAGAAAAGUAGUUUCAUCUCUGAAAUACUUUAAUACAUUUA